UGGUCCGUUGGUAAAGGGGUUAAGACACCGCCUUUUCACGGCGGUAACACGGGUUCGAAUCCCGUACGGACUAU
rnacentral:tRNA from 1 species